CAGCAGCCGCGGUAAUACGAAGGGUGCAAGCGUUAAUCGGAAUUACUGGGCGUAAAGCGUGCGUAGGCGGUUUGUCAAGUCUGUUGUGAAAUCCCCGGGCUCAACCUGGGAAUGGCAAUGGAUACUGGCAAGCUAGAGUGUGUCAGAGGAUGGUGGAAUUCCCGGUGUAGCGGUGAAAUGCGUAGAGAUCGGGAGGAACAUCAGUGGCGAAGGCGGCCAUCUGGGACAACACUGACGCUGAGGCACGAAAGCGUGGGGAGCAAACAGGAUUAGAUACCCGCGUAGUCCCUGUCUCUUAUAC
rnacentral:rRNA from 1 species